rnacentral:rRNA from 1 species
GGGGGGGGGUGGGGGGGGGGGGGGGGGGGGGGGGGCGGGGGGGGGGGGGGGGGGGGGGGGGGGGGCGCGGGGGGCGGGCGGGUGAGGGAGGCGGGAGGAACCUGCCCGGGACGUGGGGGUGACUUCAGGGAACUGGGGCUCAGACCGGCGGGGCGCGCCUGCUGCAUGGGGGGGGGUGGCACGUGUCGGCGGCUGGGGAUGGACUCGCGGCUUAUCAGCUUGUUGGUGGGGUAGUGGCUUACCAAGGCGUUGACGGGUAGCCGGCCUGAGAGGGUGACCGGCCACAUUGGGACUGAGAUACGGCCCAGACUCCUACGGGAGGCAGCAGUGGGGAAUAUUGCACAAUGGGCGGAAGCCUGAUGCAGCAACGCCGCGUGCGGGAUGACGGCCUUCGGGUUGUAAACCGCUUUCGCCUGUGACGAAGCGUGAGUGACGGUAAUGGGUAAAGAAGCACCGGCUAACUACGUG